CUCUGCAUUCUUUAUCCUGUUUAAUAAAACUCCAUCACUCAUCCCUGGGUUUCUGAUAAUCUAUGAGUCCAAUCUCCUGGUACGUGACA